UACAGAGGUCCCAAGCGUUGUUCGGAUUCACUGGGCGUAAAGGGCGCGUAGGCGGCCCGUCAAGUCCCGUGUGAAAGCCCCCGGCUCAACCGGGGAACGGCGCGGGAAACUAGCAGGCUUGAGUUCGGGAGAGGGAAGCGGAAUUCCGGGUGUAGCGGUGAAAUGCGCAGAUAUCCGGAGGAACACCGGUGGCGAAGGCGGCUUCCUGGACCGACACUGACGCUGAGGCGCGAAAGCUAGGGGAGCAAACGGG
rnacentral:rRNA from 1 species